rnacentral:rRNA from 1 species
UACGUAGGGGGCAAGCGUUGUCCGGAAUCAUUGGGCGUAAAGAGCGUGUAGGCGGCCUGAUAAGUCGGCUGUGAAAGUCAAGGGCUCAACCCUUGAAUGCCGGCCGAUACUGUCAGGCUAGAGUCCGGAAGAGGCGAGUGGAAUUCCUGGUGUAGCGGUGAAAUGCGCAGAUAUCAGGAGGAACACCGAUGGCGAAGGCAGCUCGCUGGGACGGUACUGACGCUGAGAAACGAAAGCGUGGGGAGCGAACAGG